GCGAAGGCACUCCGACGCUCAAGUCAGUAAAGCGGGUGGUCAGCUCUCAGAGUGAUAAAUGACAUACCUUACUCCUUGGGAUGCGUACUAUUUAUAUUAUUCUAGUGGGCCUACCUUGUUGGGCCCAUUUAUCGAGGUGGACACCUCUUAGGUUUGCAUUACCUAAUUCUUAAUGAUAGAUUAGCUUCACUGAUCUUGGUUUGAGCGUUAACUGUAAUAGGGGUCGGCCAUCGGCCAAAUCAUCAUGGCAUGGGUCGGCCAUCGGCCAUGUUCCAGUGGUCUCGGUCGUCUCGGCCAAGUCUUCUAAGGUCUCGGCCUCUCAGUCGUCUCGGCCUCUCGGCCAAGUCUUCUAAGGUCUCGGCCCCUCGGCCUCUCGGCCAAGUCUUCUAAGGUCUCGGCCUCUCGGCCAAGUCUUCUAAGGUCUCGGCC
rnacentral:lncRNA from 1 species